GACUUCGGUCACAAGCGGCCCGGGACGUCAGCGGUGCCCUGGUGCUCAGGACUCAGGUUGAGGCCAUGCUGAGUCCUUGCGGCUGCGGCUGCGGAGUCGAGGAGCAGAUGGACGACAGCCAGCAGAAUCUGGUGGGGAGCAACAGGACAACACAGAGCGUGGACGUGGCCGAGCCCGAGCCCGGGGCCGUGGAGGUCCGGGUGGAAUACUGUACCUCCUGAGGAUUCCUGGCGCGCUUCUUGUUCCUGGCCACUGAGAUCAAAGAGCAGGUUCCGGAGGCGCGCAUUACCGGGCUCAUCGGGCAGAAAGGAAGUUUUGAAGUUACAGUUAACAACAAGCUGGUCUUCUCUAAGCUGCAAUCAAAUGCGUUCCCUUAUCAUGAAGACAUCAUUGAGGCUGUGAAGGCCGCAAGAGACGGGUCUCCAUUGAAUAGAAUCAUAUCCAAGGAGGAAGUUAUGGUCAAGAAGGGAGCCUGUGUUGUUUCAUAGCGGAAACGGAAGAACAUGCCUGUCAAUUGGCCGGUCAGGCCGGUGAAGCACGUUCUGCAGAUGAAUGCUUUCCACUAAAGCCAGUGGGGGAAGCAGGAAUAGAAACAGGAUGUGUUCCUCUGGCUUACGGUCUGCUAUGUACAGUCACACUGAUUGCUCUGUUUGUCACCCUGACUGUGUCACUCAUUAAACUUAAUUCUUUAAAUUUUCACUCCUCUUCCCUAUAUCCAGUUCACUUCCUGUAUCCACCUCAGUCCUGGUAUCCAGCAGAUUCCCCGUACCCAGCUCACUCCCCGUACCCAGCUCACUCCCCGUACCCAGCUCACUCCCCGUACCCAGCACAUUCCCCGUACCCAGCAGAUUCCCUGUACCCAGCAGAUUCCCCGUAUCCAGCUCACUCCCUGUAAUCAGCUCACUCCCCGUAUCCAGCUCACUUCCCGUAUCCAGCUCACUCCCCGUAUCCAGCAGAUUUCCUGUAUCCAGACUCCCUGUAUCCAGCUCACUCCCCGUAUCCAGCAGAUUCCCCGUAUCCAGCAGAUUCCCUGUAUUCAGCUCACUCCCUGUAUCCAGCUGAUUCCCUGUAUCCAUCUCACUCCCUGUAUCCAGCACAUUUUCUUUAUCUAGCUGAUACCCUGCUCAGUUCCCUAUAUCCAGCUGGCUCCCUACUGAAAUCUACAGCACAUUACAGGCCCUUCGGCCCACAAUGUUGUGCCGACCAUCUAACCUACUCUAGAGACUGCCCAGAAUUUCCCUACUGCAUAGCCUCUAUUUUUCUGAGCUCCAUGUACCUAUCUAAGAGGCUCUUAAAAGACCCUCUUGUAUCCACUUCUACCACCGUCACCAGCAGUACAUUCCACACACCCACCACUCUCUGUGUGAAAAACUUAGCCCCGACAUCCCCUCAGUACCUACUUCCAAGCACCUUAAAACUGUGCCCCCUCGAGCUAGCCAUUUCAGCCCUGGGAAAAAGCCUCUGACUAUCCACACAAUCAAUGCCUCUCAUCAUCUUAUACAUCUCUAUCAGGUCACCUCUCAUCCUCCAUCACUCCAAGGAGAGAAGGCCAAGUUCACUCAACCUAUUCUCAUAAGGUACACCCUCCAAUCCAGACAACUUCUUUUUAAAUCUCCUCUGCACUGUCUCUAUAGUAUCCAGCUGAUCCCUAUAUCCUGGUCCCUAUAUUCAGCUGAUUCCAUGUAUCCUGCUCCCUAUACUGAAUUCCCUAUGUCCAGCUCAAUCGCUACAUUCAGUUCCUGAUAUCCAGCUGAUUCCCUACACCCUCUUCCUUAUGUCCAGUUGAUUCAUUCCUUCCAGCUGAUUCCCUUUAAGAACAUAAGAAAUAGCAGGAGUCGGCCAUCUGGCCCGUCAACCCUGCUCAAUAAGAUCAUGGCUGAUCUGGCCAUGGACUCAUCUCCACCUACCUGCCUUUUCCCCAUAACCCUUAGUUCCCUACUAUGCAAAAUCUAUCCAACCUUGUCUUAAAUAUAUUUACUGAGGGAGCCUCCACUGCUUCAUUGGACAGAGAAUUCCACAGAUUCACCACUCUCUGGGAAAAGCAGUUCCUCCUCAUCUCUGUCCUAAAUCUACUCCCCUGAAUCUUGAGGCUAGUUCCCCUAGUUCUAUUCUCACUUACCAGUGGAAACAGCUUUCCUGCCUCUAUCUUAUCUAUCCUUUUCAUUAAUUUAUAUGUUUCUCUAAGAUCUCCUCUCAUCCUUCUUAAUCCCGGCAAGUACUGUCACAGGCGACUCAAUCUUCCCUCGUAGUCUCACCCCCUCAUCUCUGGAAUCAACCUGGUGAACCUCUUCUGCACCGCCUCCAAAGCCAGUAUAUUCUUCCUCAAGUAUGGAGACCAGAACUGCACACAGUACUCCAGCUGCGGCCUCACCAGUACCCUGUACAGUUGCAGCAUGACCUCCCUGCUCUUGAAUUCAAUCCCUCUAGCAAUGAAGGCCAACAUCUCAUUUGCCUUCUCUGAUAGCCUGCUGCACCUGCAAACCAACCUUUUGCGAUUGAUACACAAGCACUCCCAAGUCCCUCUGCACAGCAGCAUGAUGCAAUCUUUUACCAUUUAAAUAAUAACCUAAUCUUCCAUUUUUCCUUCCAACGUGGAUGACCUCACAUUAGCCAACAUUGUACUCCAUCUGCCAAACUCUUGCCCAUUCACUUAACCCAUCUACACCUCUCUGCAGACUCUCCGUAUGCUCUGCACAAUUUGCUUUUCCACUCAAUUUAGCAUCAUCAGCAAACUUAGAUACACUACACUCGGUCCCCUCUUCCACAUCAUUAAUGAAUAUCAUGAAGUUGGCGGGCCCAGCACUGAUCCCUGCAGCACAUCGCUCACCACUGAUUGCCAACCAGAGUAAUACCAAUGUAUCCCAACUCUCUGCUUUCUAUUGUUAACCAAUCCUCUAUCCAUGCUAAUACACCACUCCCAACUCAAUGCAUCCUUAUCUUAUGGAUAAGUCUUUUAUGCAUUACCUUUUCGAAUGCCUUCUGGAAAUCCAAGUAAGUAACAUCCAUCUGUUCCCCUCUAUCCACUGCGCUCAUUAUAUCCUCAAAAAAUUCCAGGAAGUUUGUCAAACAGGACCUGCCUUUGCUGAAUCCAUUCUGCAUCUGCCUGAUGGAUCCAUUUCUUUCCAGAUGCCUUGCUAUUUCUUCUUUAAUGAUAGCAUCAAGCAUUUUCCCAACCACAGAUGUUAAACUAACUGGCCUACAGUUUCCUGACUUUUGCCUACAUCCUUUUUUGAACAGUGGUAUCACAUUCAUCUUCUUCUAACCCACCAGGGCCUACCCAGAAUCCACAGAAUUUUGUUAAAUUAUCACCUAAACCUCUACUAUAACCUCCGCCAUUUCUUUCAGUACUCUGGGAUGUAUUCCAUCAGGACCAGGGGACUUGUCUAUCUUUAGGCUCACAAGUUUACUCAGCACUACCUCUUCAGUGAUAGCUGUUGAAUCGAGAUCCUCACCUCCCAUUGCAUCCAUAACAUCUCUCUUUGCCAUGUUAGAUGUGUCCUCCACCAUGAAAACUAACUCAAAAUAGUCGGCCAUUUCUUCAUUACCCAAUAUCAACUCCCCCUUCUCGUCCUCCAAAAGACCUACAUUCACUUUAGCCACCCUUUUCCACUUUAUAUAAUUAUAAAAACAUUUACUAGCAGUUUUUAUAUUUUGUGCUAGUUUAUUUUCAUAAUCUAGCUUUCCUUUCUUUAUUGAUCAUUUAGUGGGUCUUCGUUGCUUUUUAAAGUUUUCCCAAUCUUCCAGUUUCCCACUACUCUUGGCGACUUUGCAUGCACGAGCUUUUAGUUUGAUGCCUUCUUUUAUUUCCUUAGUUAUCCAAGGCUGGCUCUCCCCACCCUACUGUCCUUGCUUUUAACUGGAAAACACUUCUGUUGAGCACCGUGAAAAAUCUCUUUGAAAAGUCUUCCACUGUUCCUCAACCAUCCCACCAUAUAGCCUGUGUUCACAGUCUACAUUAGCCAAAUCCCAUUGUAGUCUCCACUGUAUAGGCAUGAUACUCUGGUUUUAGAUUGAACUAUUGCACCCUCCAUUUGCAUCAAAAACUCAGUCAUACUGUGAUCAUUCUAAGCAAGAGGAACCCUAACUACAAGAUCACUAAUUUUACCUGCUUCAUUGCACAGGACCAGAUCUAAGAUAUCACGUUCCCUUGUAGAUUCAGUAACACGCUGUUCCCCCGUGAUAACUGCUGUUCCAUUCUCACAUGCCUCAGAGAUUUCUCCGUUUAUUGCCUGUGCCUCUGUAAUGUUAUUAGUCGGUGGCUGAUGAUUUCUUCCCUUUACUACUCCUAAUCUCUACCCAGAUUCUGCUCCUCAGAUCUUACAUCGUCUCUCACUAUUGCCCUGAUCUCAUCCUUAUUUAAGAGUGCCACCCCCACCUCCCUUAUCUUCCUGCCUAUUCCGUAUGACCUGAUAUGCUUAGAUAUUCAAAUCACAGUCCUCUCCACCCUGCAACCAUGUCUCUGUAUUGGCCACUAAAUCAUAACCCUUUAGAACAUAGGCCCAGUAUAGGCCUUUCGGCCCACAAUGUUGUGCUGACCCUUAAACCCCACCUCCCAUAUACUUUAUACUUUACUGUCGCCAAACAAUUGAUACUAGAAUGUACAAUCAUCACAGCGAUAUUUGAUUCUGUG